AAUUGGACGCAUCUACUGAUGUUGAUGGCACAAUGAGUUUAGAAGACCAUGUUCUGUUAAGUAUAGUAUUAGAAAUAGAAGAUAAUGAAAUUUUGAACUAUUUGGGAAGUCUAGACGAGCUGUAUCUCACCAAGUUAGCGGUAGUUACAAUGGAUAACAAAAUCACCACCCCUCAUUACGAAAAUGUUGUGCAUAAGAGAGAUAUUAUAGAAACACUGGGUUUAGAUGAGAACGUGGUUCAUAUAGAUAAUGAACUUAUGGAAAAUGAUGCGCAUAAGUUUAUAAAUGCAACGAAGUUUUUGAUGAAGAUAGAAGAAGCUGUGAAUAAUGUCACCAUUGUCACCAAGCCUGUAAAGAAAGCUAUUUUAAUCGGACGUCCAAAAUCUUACAAUAUUGAAGAACUAAACGAUAUUGGAACUCAUUCUCCACCAGAAAACACUAAUCCUCACGAAGAUAUACCUAGUCCAGACCAUGCAAAGAUAGAUCGUGAUGUUUAUUUGGAAUAUGCACUGCUAGAUGUUCAAGACGAAAACCUAACGUCUUUGCCAGAAUCUCUAAAUAUGAAUUACGAAAAUAUAACAGAGAAGCAUGAAAAUUCAAGCAGCAUUGAUGAGUCACAGAGCGUAACUUCUUCAUCUGAAAUUAUGAUGCAACAACAUAUUUCUUUGUCCGAUGAUGUUAGCCAAGAAAAUUCAGGAUUUUCUUUGACAGAACACA